rnacentral:rRNA from 1 species
UUGGAGGGCAAGUCUGGUGCCAGCAGCCGCGGUAAUUCCAGCUCCAAUAGCGUAUAUUAAAGUUGUUGCAGUUAAAAAGCUCGUAGUUGAACUUCGGGAUCAAUGGAUUGGUCAUGCCGAUGGUAUGUACUGGUCAUAUUGGUUCUCACCUUCUAAGGAACCAUAAUGUCAUUCAUUUGAUGUUUUGGGGAAUUAGGACUGUUACCUUGAAAAAAUUAGAGUGUUUAAAGCAGGCUAACGCUUGAAUACAUUAGCAUGGAAUAAUGAAAUAGGACAUCGCAUUCUAUUUUGUUGGUUUCUAGGAUCGAUGUAAUGAUUAAUAGGGAUAGUUGGGGGCAUUAGUAUUCAAUUGUCAGAGGUGAAAUUCUUGGAUUUAUUGAAGACUAACUACUGCGAAAGCAUUUGCCAAGGAUGUUUUCAUUAAUCAAGAACGAAAGUUAGGGGAUCGAAGACGAUCAGAUACCGUCGUAGUCUUAACCAUAAACUAUGCCGACUAGGGAUCGGAUGAUGUUGAUUUUUUAAUGACUCAUUCGGCGCCUUACGGGAAAC